rnacentral:rRNA from 1 species
GCCCAAUCGUAAACCUUGAUGAUAAGCCACAAAUAUCAUCCGCCAGGGAACUACAAGCGCAUCGCUCGAAACCCAACGGACUUGGCGGUGCCCCACACCCACCUAGAGGAGCCUGUUCUAUAACUGACAAUCCCCGUUCAACCUCACCGCCCCUAGCCCCUUCAGUCUAUAUACCACCGUCGUAAGCUCACCCUGUGAAGGACAAACAGUAAGCAAGAUGGGCACAGCCCAAAACGUCAGGUCGAGGUGUAGCACAUGGGGCGGGAAGAAAUGGGCUACAUUUUCUGCCUACAGAACAAUACGAACAACGUUAUGAAAUCUACCGUUCAAAGGAGGAUUUAGCAGUAAAAAGAAAACAGAGAGUUCUUUUGAAGCCGGCCCUGGGGCGCGCACA